rnacentral:rRNA from 1 species
GACGAACGCUGGCGGCGUGCCUAAUACAUGCCAGUAGAACGCUGAAGGAGGAGCUUGCUUCUCUGGAUGAGUUGCGAACGGGUGAGUAACGCGUAGGUAACCUGCCUGGUAGCGGGGGAUAACUAUUGGAAACGAUAGCUAAUACCGCAUAAGAGUAGAUGUCGCAUGACAUUUUCUUAAAAGGUGCAAUUGCAUCACUACCAGAUGGACCUGCGUUGUAUUAGCUAGUUGGUGAGGUAACGGCUCACCAAGGCAACGAUACAUAGCCGACCUGAGAGGGGGAUCGGCCACACUGGGACUGAGACACGGCCCAGACUCCUACGGGAGGCAGCAGUAGGGAAUCUUCGGCAAUGGACGGAAGUCUGACCGAGCAACGCCGCGUGAGUGAAGAAGGUUUUCGGAUCGUAAAGCUCUGUUGUAAGAGAAGAACGAGUGUGAGAGUGGAAAGUUCACACUGUGACGGUAUCUUACCAGAAAGGGACGGCUAACUACGUG